AACCACCCAGCGAACCUAAAUGUCUGCGUCCUAGACCAGCCCCUCCAACAGGCUUAGGCCUUUGGGGGACCAGCUGGCUAGGCGCCAAACCAAAUUCACUCAACACAAAAACAAGUCUGAAGCUAUUUCUGAUUGACCCAGUCGAUCAGUCUAACCUAAGACAACUCUCAACAACGGAUAUCUUGGCUCCUACAACGAUGAAGAACGCAGCGAAAUGCGAUACGUAGUGUGAAUUGCAGAAUUCCGUGAACCAUCGAAUCUUUGAACGCAUAUUGCGCUCGAGGCCUCGGCCAAGAGCACGCCUGCCUCAGGGUCAUGAUUACCUCACCCCUACCUACCUAGGUAUUGGGUGGACCUGGCCUCCUCACCCGCAAGGGUGGGCUGGCUGAAGUGCAGAGAUCGAACCACUGCCAUAUCUUGGGCCCCCUGGAGUGCCUCGGCACCCAGGUGGGCCUGGGGGCGAGCACCGGUAGGUAGCCUAAGGGUUAUUCCGUGCGCGCUGGUGGCCGCUGGGAGUGAUCAAGCAGGUAUUUGCCUCCGGGUAAAUAAUCAACAUUUGACCUGAGUUCAGACGAGACUACCCGCCGAACUUAAGCAUAUC
rnacentral:rRNA from 1 species